GUGAGUACACAGCGUGUGAGCUGCGGGGACGAGAUCCACUAAAGGCCGGCGUGAUGACGUCACAUCAUCGCGCCGGCGCCUGGAGGACCCGUCCCUGCGGCCUGCAUACUGUAAGUAAGGGUAUGCUCAGGGUCCAGGGGAUUAUGGAAACAGGAUAUGCGCCACUGUUAGGAGGAGGGGGGUCAGAGAAAAGGGAAUAUUUAAUGAGGGUCUGCAGCAGGGACGUGCACACAUAGGAGUGAAAGGGGGCUGGAGCCCCUGCCCUUUUCCUCACCUGCCCCUCUAGUGCCCUCACAAAAGGAGGUGCAGACUCAGGCUGACAAGUGAAGUAAAAAGGAUCCAUUGCUGGAGAUUUGUAUGUGGUUUAAUGGAGGGUGCUGUGCCCUCCCUGCAGCAAGGGGGCGCCACUCACCCUGUCAUUAUCUGCCAUUUCUUUGCUUCUCUCCACACGGAGGAGACAGGAGCAGAGGAGGCAGAGGGAGGCAAAUGGAGGCCCCGCCCACAACAUGUCCGGCCACAAACCAGUCUAAGCAGCCCUUACUCCAAUCAGAGAGCAGCACUACUGAAAUAGAACUCCCAGGAGUGAGGGGCCGGUGCUGGACACUGUGUAGGGACGCGGGAAUGCAAAGUCAUACACAUGACUGUGACUGAUGCACUAUCUCCAGGACAUGGAGUAGCAUUUCCGGACCUACAGCAAGACGUUGGAUGAAGGCAUAGCCCCAGAAAUAACACUGGUCCUGUUCAUCAGUGAGGGGCCGGUGCUGGACACUGUGUAGGGACACGGGAAUGCAAAGUCAUGCACAUGACUGUGACUGAUGCACUAUUUCCAGGACAUGGAGUAGCAUUUCGGGACCUACAGCAAGACGUUGGAUGAAGGCACAGGCCUAGGAAUCAUGCACAUACACAGAAACAUUUGCCCAAAUUAUAGAGGUAACCUCCUUUAGUAUGCCCAGAGGAAGGGCCAUACAGUAGCCAUGGAUUCCCUACAGGUU